GUUUUCGUAGUGUAGUGGUUAUCACGUUCGCCUGACACGCGAAAGGCCCCCGAUUCGAACCCGGGCGAAAACA
rnacentral:tRNA from 1 species